rnacentral:rRNA from 1 species
AGAGUUUGAUCAUGGCUCAGAAUCAACGCUGGCGGCGUGCCUAACACAUGCAAGUCGAACGCGAAAGUCCCGCAAGGGAUCAGUAGAGUGGCAAACGGGUGAGUAACACGUGGGUGACCUGCCUUCGAGCGGGGGAUAACGUCCCGAAAGGGACGCUAAUACCGCAUAACAUGCCGCCUUUUAACAGGUGGACAUCAAAGCUGGGGAUCGCAAGACCUAACACUUGAAGAGGGGCCCGCGCCUGAUUAGCUAGUUGGUGGGGUAAUGGCUCACCAAGGCAACGAUCAGUAUCCGGCCUGAGAGGGCGGACGGACACACUGGGACUGAGACACGGCCCAGACUCCUACGGGAGGCAGCAGUGGGGAAUUGUUCGCAAUGGGCGCAAGCCUGACGACGCAACGCCGCGUGGAGGAUGAAGAUCUUCGGGUCGUAAACUCCUUUCGAUCGAGACGAACGGCUUCCGGGUGAACAAUCCGGGAGAGUGACGGUACCGAGAGAAGAAGCCCCGGCUAACUCCGUGCCAGCAGCCGCGGUAAUACGGGGGGGGCAAGCGUUGUUCGGAAUUACUGGGCGUAAAGGGCUCGUAGGUGGCCAACUAAGUCAGACGUGAAAUCCCUCGGCUUAACCGGGGAACUGCGUCUGAUACUGGAUGGCUUGAGUUUGGGAGAGGGACGCGGAAUUCCAGGUGUAGCGGUGAAAUGCGUAGAUAUCU